CGGGAAUGGUACAUGAGUGUUAACGCUCAGCAUGAGACACCGUGUGAGCUGUGAGCAUGGCAAAUUUACAACCAAGGUAGGUCAGCUGGUCAGGAUAUCUAGGUAGGAGGGUGUGCUGGUGGUUAGUCGUUACUGGUUAGCGAAGCACUAUUUGGGUUCACGUGGAGAAGAGAAAUUGAUUGGAGUUUCUAGUGAACAGAGGCGUGUUAGUGUGUGCUAAGUGUUGUGUGGGCUUGGUGAUGUUUUGAUGAGGUUGCAAUGUAAUGAUGUGCUGUAGAGAAAGAACAUGGCUCCGUUGACUAUAAGCAAUUUAGAUUAAGAUAGUAGAGGCUGGUGUUUUUCCUACUCAAACAGAGAGAGAAAAAAGAGAGUGGUGAUCGAUGAGCUUGGAGGAAGAUUACAGGAACCUGAAGCAGUCAGCUGAAGCCAAAAUAAAUGGGGAGGCUGAAAAUAAUUUUUCAAGAAAUAGAUUUUCUUCUCUUUUAGUCUCCAAAGAUCGUGAUUUUCUUCUCUCUCCCGAUGGAACUAAGGUUUUUCCGUUCUCCUCUCUCUCUUCUUCUGUAUAUUUUAUCGUUUCCUUGAACUACACUGCGCAGCAGCUAGCUUCUCAAAGAAAAUUAAGUUUUUUAUAUUUACUUAAAAAGAAAAAAUCAACAGGUUUUCUUCUUUCAUUUCAUGUAACAUGGUGAGAUGCUGAAACUGAUGCUGGCGUCUGGUGGCCUGGCCUCAGUAUACUUUCCAAAGCUUCUAGUAUUCUGUCAACUUUUUUUUUUCACUGAUAUAUUUUAUGUUUCUGAUCAACUGUAUGGUAGUGGUUUUGAUGAUCUCAGGACUUGGAUCGAGUUUACUUUAACCAUAUUCAAGGUCUACACAUGGAUAAAAUCGAAGAAAAUAAUUAAAAAAAAUUCCAUUUAAGUAGCAUAUAUCACCUAGGAACUUUAUAGAACCAUUGUCUUGAACUGUUAAUUUUCUCAUUCCAGGAAAUUAAACUCUUGUGUUUCCUUGUAUGAAUCCUUCCUAAAAACAUAGAGGAGUCCUACUUAUUUUAUGCUAAAUAAGUAAUUAAUUUAAUAAUUUCCUUUUUCCUAUAAAUUAAAUACGUACAAGCGGGCAUGAGGAUAAAACUGAUAAACGUUGGUUCUAUUUAUUUAGCUCCAUUGGUCCUACUUAUCGUUGGACACAUAAACCAGCAGGAGUUAUAACAAAAGGAGAUUGUUGGUUAUUGUAUUGUGCUUUCAUAUCGUGUAAAGCUGAAUUUUUGUAUUCCGCUGGUGAUCUUUAUCUUGUCUGCAAUCCAACGGUGCCCUAACGAAGUUCGUGGUAGAUUUUUAUAUUUUCGAAAUUCUUGAAGGGAUGAGAUUGACCUUCUGUAUCAUUAGACGUGUGAAACACUGAGUUGCUGUCCAAUGCGAAGUUCAUGAAUGAUAAUAUCCUCCUCCUCCUGCUGCUUCUGCUUCUGUUUCUUGUUCCUAUCGCUUUUGUUCCUGUUGGUGGUGGGGGGAAGUGGUUGUUGAGUGGGUGGAUGUAUGCUCAUUCGGAUGCGGGUUCUCAUGCCCUACACAUCACAAAUAUGUAUGCAGUCUUAAUCAGAGGGGGUUCCCACCUCCUACACAGCGGCUGUCAAUGAAACAGCAAGCUGUGAGGACGUGUCGCUACCUAAUACUUACUUUAGCCUUAAAUUAACGCUAUUGGUACAACACGUGGGCCGUCCACAACUCAUGCAAUCUGGCAGCGCUGACCUGCUAUUUUCAUAAUUUUUGGGAAUGAAUUCUCUGUUGUAACUUGUUAUCUUCCCAUUGGUUCAUUAAGUUUCGUAUUCGUUACCAUUGUAUGCACCUUGGAACUGAAAAAUGCAAGGAAAUUGCAUGUGGAAUCUUGUGUUAUAAUCUGGGCAUUAUCUUAUCUGGCAGGUGGAAGUUUCUGAACUUGAAGGCAAGGUCGUAGGCCUCUACUUCUCUGCUAACUGGUACCCACCAUGCAGAAACUUCACACAGAUCCUAAUUGAUGCAUACGAGCACCUAAACAGCAACGGGUGUAAUUUUGAGGUUGUGUUUGUGUCAUCUGAUGAGGACUUAAAUGCCUUCAACAACUAUCGAGCAUUGAUGCCCUGGCUUUCCAUUCCAUUUUCUGAUUUGGAGACAAAAAAAGCCUUGGACCGUAAAUUCAACGUUGAAGGUAUUCCCUGUUUAAUUAUUUUGCAACCUAAGGAUAAUAAGGAUGAGGCAACUUUGCAGGAUGGAGUUGAAAUCCUUUAUCGAUUCGGAGUCCAAGCCUUUCCGUUCACUAAACAGAGACUGCAAGAAUUGGAAUUGCAAGAAAGGGAAAAGCACGAGUGCCAGACCUUAACCAAUUUACUAACAAUCAAUGAUAGAGACUAUCUUUUCGGUCAUCCUGCACCUAAA
rnacentral:misc_RNA from 1 species